rnacentral:rRNA from 1 species
CAAUAGCGUAUAUUAAAGUUGUUGCAGUUAAAAAGCUCGUAGUUGGACCUUGGACCUGGACAGGCGGUCCGCCUCACGGCGUGUACUGUCUUGCUGGGUCUUUCCUCUUGGUGAUCUGUUGUUUCGGCAGCAGGGAACCAGGACUUUUACUUUGAAAAAAUUAGAGUGUUUAAAGCAGGCUCGACGCCGGAAUAUAUUAGCAUGGAAUAAUAAAAUAGGACGUGCGGUUCUAUUUUGUUGGUUUUUGGAAUCGCCGUAAUGAUUAAUAGGGACAGUCGGGGGCAUUAGUACUCACAUGCUAGAGGUGAAAUUCUUGGAUUUUGUGAAGACUAACUUCUGCGAAAGCAUUUGCCAAGGAUGUUUUCAUUAA